CCCCGCUCCGUGUAGACUGAGUGUAUGUAGAUGCCGAUCAUUUAUUUUAUGAAACUGAAUUAUGGUCUGAGCCUUAUCAUGUUAACAUCGUCGUGUGUUCGUGUUAAGAUAACUUGCUUAGGUCACACAAUGUUCUAGAUUCUAGAUAAUAUAUUUCACUGCAGAGUAAUCCAGGGACCUAUACAAACAAUACAAACAAAGGGAUGAGACACUCACUGAACCGAAGAACAAGCUAACGCGUUGGUACGCAAAAGGGAAACGAGACUUGCGACCCAACGAGACUUCGCGCUUCGAGGCAAAUUUUCACAGCCGCCAUUUUGACAAAGCGAGACCGUGACAAAGCAAUCGAGAAAGAAUAAGAGUACAAAUUAACCAAGUGUUGCCAACACAGAAGUAUUCAUUGCAAAGUGUGCUGAAAAGAAUCAAAAGAGGGUUUCUUGCUCUUUAGACGGAAAGUUUGACUCUGCAAAGGAAAAUAUCAUGACGCCAGCGAAAACUUGGGCGUACAAACCCAGGUCAUUUCCACAUUAAAAGCUUUUAAUGGUUGAAAAACAUUGUGGACUUUAAAUAGUGCUGACAUACAUGUGUGUUCACAGCUAUGCCAAGAAUACGGAUACUGUCUGAUUCAACACGGAAAUUGGAUUCCUUUCCUUUCCUGAGACGUACCUUGACCAUCCCAUCACUAAGAUGAUGUUACUAUAUUCAUGUCUACUAUAUAAAGCAGUGGCGACAACAAACUUCACAAACCUUCAGACUUGCCGAAGACAAAAGAAAAUUCAGUAUUAAUUAGUUUUAAAUAUUCAAUUGAUUAAAUUAAACUGUUGCAUUUUUUCAUAAAUGAACACAUUCCAGCAGUGAAUAUCUCUGCUUAACUCAAAAGUGACUGUUAGAUUUUUGAUCAUGUUAAUCAAAAAUGUGUUCCCAAAACUCAUUAUAAAUAUAAAAAUUUUAAACUUGUUUAAACAAGAUAAUUUGGUUUUUAAUUUUAGUAAGCUUUUUGUAUUGCUGUAGGCUUCGAAUAAAUCUUCUGCAUCACCAUGUCAGGAGGAAGCUCAAUCUUUUGUUGUUGAAAUAAUAAAUAGAAAAUUGUUAGUAUUAUUAUCAAAUUUUUGCUGUUCUAUUUCACAUUGCAAAUGGUUACUUGUGCAAAAUCUUUUACAAACAUGUGAUUUUUUUACAUGCUAUUGAGUUUUUAAAAUAUUUUCUUUAACUGAAUGCUCAUUACACUUAGUAACAUGAAUGUAUUCUACACAUACUCUUAAACUUAAAUAAUACCAAGAUUACCUAUCAUGCACGAACUAAUGUGUAUGUUUCAGUGAUUAACUGAUUUAUACUGAGAAAUAAAACAUAAACGACUUUUAUGAAUUGCCUUGCCUUCAAAUUCUGCUGAUUUUUGUUCAAUACUUGAACACGAAAUCACGAAAAGACUUUCAGUACUACUAUGGAUAUCAUGUUCAAAAGGAGUCCAACAGAAUAAUAUAAUGGCAUGCGAACCUUCAUUGUCUCGGAUGAUAAAGAACAAUUAUACAUUUUAAAUUGUAAGCAAUUGGCAGGCGUUAAUAAUGUUGAUAU